GUUGAAAGCUAAGAUUUUUCUAGCCUUAUUCAACAAAAGAAAUAGCAUAGCUACAACAAAAAUGAUUCUGCGAUGUGUUAAAAGAGAAGGCAAAUGUUAUGUUUGAUAAAAAUUCUACUGUAAUUUCGUAUGAAAAUUCUCAUCACAUUGACUAGGCAUAUUAUUGGUUGUUAAAAGAAUUUUUUUGAUGUAUUUAGAGCUAUAAAACUUGCUGUUUUAAAGAGCAGUUCUGCUGUUGUAUCAGCAGCAUGCAGACAGCAUGGCUUUUUGGAGCUUUCUGAUGUAAGUCGUCUGCUUAAUACCAGUGAAAUAACCAGAAUCAUGAGAAUAAUAGAAACCUUUAGGUAUAUCUAAUUGAAUUUUUGUCACCUGAAAAUUAUUGAAAAUAAAAUCUCCUUUUUUUCCAGUUCUGACAAAAUCAAUUUUCCAUCUGAGAGAAGAGAGGAAGAUCUUAACUUGAAUAAAGAGAGCUUAAGAGCACAAAGCUAAGGCUUCCAAGUGGCAACAUCUUUGAGCUUUUGAUCAAAUUAUCAAUAAAAUUUACUCUCUUGCUUUGUAUUUAAACAUAAUUAAAAUCCAUGGCGUGGUGCUACUCUUUCCAUGUAUCCAUCUAUUUCUCUCUAUGCUAUAAUUUAUGUUGGAUGCCUUUUGGUGUUUAGUGAUACAAG
rnacentral:misc_RNA from 1 species